GGCAAUUACCAGAGAGACUUUAGCAGAUCUUAAUUGAACACAUAUACCGAGAAGCUACUGGAUUUGCGACUUACAUACAGGUGAUGUUCUCAAAGAUUUGAAAUUAUAGGCAGAGGCAUGAAGUUCACUAAAACUUCCAGUCACUGUGCAAGAAAAUCCAGACACCUCUCAAAAGCCAUUCACCUUCAUUUUCUAUCAUUUUGCCUUGGUACCCACCCAAUUCCCAUGCCUCUCCUUUGUUCUGUUUACUAUCUUUCUUAAUUUGAUGCAUACUUGCAUCUUUGUCAGUCUUUUUUUUUAAAUUGUUUUUUUCUUUUAAUUAUAUAAAUUAAGAUUUGUAUCAUAGGGCCGUAUCUGAGACAUAUGUAGCCGUAUCAUACAAAUUUUUAAAAUACAUUUGUAAAACAAACACAGUUGGGACAUACCCAACGUGCAAUAUUGUAUUGGAAAGGGAAGUGGUAUUAUAUUUGAAUGGGUGAAUAUCUCGCUCUUGAUAUUGCAUGAA